rnacentral:rRNA from 1 species
GACGGAGGAUGCAAGCGUUAUCCGGAAUGAUUGGGCGUAAAGCGUCCGCAGGUGGCAGUUCAAGUCUGCUGUCAAAGACCGGGGCUUAACUUCGGAAAGGCAGUGGAAACUGAACAGCUAGAGUAUGGUAGGGGCAGAGGGAAUUCCUGGUGUAGCGGUGAAAUGCGUAGAGAUCAGGAAGAACAUCGGUGGCGAAGGCGCUCUGCUGGACCAGAACUGACACUCAGGGACGAAAGCGAGGGGAGCGAAUGGG